rnacentral:lncRNA from 1 species
CAGGAGAGGAGCUGGGGCCUGGGAAUGGCAGGUGUCCUCUGAGGAGAGCUGAGCAGGAGAGGAGCUGGGGCCUGGGAAUGGCAGGUGUCUGCUGAGGGGAACUGUGUUGAGGAGGAGCUGGGACCCGGGAAUGGCAGGUGUCCGCUGAGGGGAACCGUGUGGGGGAGGAGCUGGGACCCGGGAAAUGGCAGGUGUCCUCUGAGGGGAACCGUGUCGGGGAGGAGCUGGGACCCGGGAAAUGGCAGGUGUCCUCUGAGGGGAACCGGGCGGGAGAGGAGCUGGGGCCUGGAAGGCCAAGGCAAGGGCUGUCUCCAGUCCACGCUGCACCCCAAGAAGGGAAGUGUGGAGAGGUAUUGACUGGUGGCUCAGUAAAAUGGC